GAUGAACGCUGGCGGCGUGCCUAAUACAUGCAAGUCGAGCGAACAGGCGAGGAGCUUGCUCCUCUGACGUUAGCGGCGGACGGGUGAGUAACACGUGGAUAACCUACCUAUAAGACUGGGAUAACUUCGGGAAACCGGAGCUAAUACCGGAUAAUAUAUUGAACCGCAUGGUUCAAUAGUGAAAGACGGUUUUGCUGUCACUUAUAGAUGGAUCCGCGCCGCAUUAGCUAGUUGGUAAGGUAACGGCUUACCAAGGCAACGAUGCGUAGCCGACCUGAGAGGGUGAUCGGCCACACUGGAACUGAGACACGGUCCAGACUCCUACAGGAGGCAGCAGUAGGGAAUCUUCCGCAAUGGGCGAAAGCCUGACGGAGCAACGCCGCGUGAGUGAUGAAGGUCUUCGGAUCGUAAAACUCUGUUAUUAGGGAAGAACAAAUGUGUAAGUAACUAUGCACGUCUUGACGGUACCUAAUCAGAAAGCCACGGCUAACUACGUG
rnacentral:rRNA from 1 species